rnacentral:rRNA from 1 species
GCGGAAGGAUCAUUACCGAAUUGUCAACAAGGGUUGUUGCUGGCCCCUGUAUGGGGGGCAUGUGCACGCUCUGUUUACACAUCCAUUCACACCUGAUGCACCCUCUGUAGUUCUAUGGCCUGGGGGGCCCUGUCCUCCUGCUGUGGUCCUAUGUCUUUACACACACACACCGAAAUAAAGUCUAAUGGAAUGUAUGUCGCGUUUAACGCAAUGAAAUACAACUUUCAGCAACGGAUCUCUUGGCUCUCGCAUCGAUGAAGAACGCAGCGAAAUGCGAUAAGUAAUGUGAAUUGCAGAAUUCAGUGAAUCAUCGAAUCUUUGAACGCACCUUGCGCCCUUUGGCUAUUCCGAAGGGCAUGCCUGUUUGAGUAUCAUGAACAUCUCAACUCUCAUGGCUUGCCAUGAUGAGCUUGGACUUUGGAGGUCUUGCUGGCCUGUGGUCAGCUCCUCUCAAAUGAAUUAUCCUGCCGGUGUUUGGUGGGAUCACAGGAGUGAUAACUAUCUACGCUUGUGGUUUUCCACCAGGU